UAGGUUGUUUUUUCAGCUUUAUGGAUUC
rnacentral:piRNA from 1 species